rnacentral:rRNA from 1 species
AGUGAACGCUGGCGGUAGGCCUAACACAUGCAAGUCGAACGGCAGCACAGUAAGAGCUUGCUCUUACGGGUGGCGAGUGGCGGACGGGUGAGGAAUACAUCGGAAUCUACUUUUUCGUGGGGGAUAACGUAGGGAAACUUACGCUAAUACCGCAUACGACCUACGGGUGAAAGCAGGGGAUCCUCGGACCUUGCGCGAUUGAAUGAGCCGAUGUCGGAUUAGCUAGUUGGCGGGGUAAAGGCCCACCAAGGCGACGAUCCGUAGCUGGUCUGAGAGGAUGAUCAGCCACACUGGAACUGAGACACGUUCCAGACUCCUACGGGAGGCAGCAGUGGGGAAUAUUGGACAAUGGGCGCAAGCCUGAUCCAGCCAUACCGCGUGGGUGAAGAAGGCCCUCGGGUUGUAAAGCCCUUUUGUUGGGAAAGAAAAGCAGCAGGUUAAUACCCCGCUGUUCUGACGGUACCCAAAGAAUAAGCACCGGCUACCUUCGU